rnacentral:rRNA from 1 species
GGGUUAGUAGGUUGGUCAUGCCUCUGGUAUGUAAUGGUCUCACUGAUUCCUCCUUCCUGAUGAACCUUAAUGCCAUUUAUUUGGUGUUUUGGGGAAUUUGGACUGUUACUUUGAAAAAAUUAGAGUGUUUAAAGCAGGCUUACGCUUGAAUACAUUAGCAUGGAACAAUGGAAUAGGACGUUUGAUUCUAUUCUGUUGGUUUCUAGGAUUGACGUA